UAUGAGUCACAUAUUUAUUCUCGUUUCUGUGCAAAUUAAGUUAAAAUAUUGCUUAAAUGUACAUGUGAUAAAGAUUUGAAGUAUUGAUUCUGUCAUGGUUUAUAAGUGAUAAAGAUUUGAAGUAUUGAUUCUGUCAUUGUUUAUAUAAGAAGCAAUUACAACUUGUAUGAAGUCUGCAUAAAAGAUCCUAUACAGAAAGCACCAACGUCACAUCUUUUAUAGAUCUGAACAUUUAUUGCAUACAUUUAGUUAUUUAAUAAAACCAAUAAUCUUACAUCUGUUAUAGCGAACCCUAUGAUAGUUUUCCAUAGAUUCACCUGCAAGUUACUGUCGAUUUAAACUUUUGGCAGUUCUAUUGUCC
rnacentral:lncRNA from 1 species